rnacentral:rRNA from 1 species
CUACAAUGGAGAGUUUGAUCCUGGCUCAGGAUGAACGCUAGCGGCAGGCCUAAUACAUGCAAGUCGAACGGAUCUGAUUCCUUCGGGAAU